CAUUAACCACUGGGGGGAGCUAAAGGGGGAAGGGCAGGGGCAGAGCAACACCAGCGGAACUAAUUGUUUUCCUGACUUAUUGACAUGAUUUCCCUACUUUUCAGAUGAGCUUGGGCAGGAAAUGCCGACGGUGAAAAGGAGAUGGGGAACUAGGAUACGGACGGUCACUCACUUCUCAACUGCCUCCGUUCUCUAAACAGGACGUUUACGCCCACGGCCAGGGCUGCACUGGCCAUCAGAACCUGUUCGACAGUAAACUCCAAGGAGUGACAAAUCAAGCACACUUGGCUUCUUUUUUGGAGGGGGAGAACUACGUCAAUCCCAAUUAGAACACAAACGUUUCCCUCGUCCACCCGAAACCUCAGCGAACCCGAUACAAAGCGACACUGGAGAAGAGGCAGUGUUGACGUCUUAUCUCUGACUGAAUUGAUCCAUCGUUCCAAGACACGUCUGGGCUUUGAUUAUGAUAAGACUCAUAUACUUUUGGGGGGAAAAGAAACAUUCUAGAAUCCUUCGUCCAAUCAGAGUUCAGCUUUUGUAGCCAUGUCAAUUCAAUCUGCCUGUGGUCUUUCCAAAUAGUAUUCCUGACCUUCGAAACAAACGAUAUUAGCAAUAGUGCAGUUUCGUUUGCCAAUUACAUUUUCUAUUUAUCCUCACAGGGUCAGAGCACUGACCCACAAUGACGUCUCUGAUUGGUCGAUCACAGCACAACCUGCUACAACUUACUUUGAUUACAAAACACAUUUGUAGCAAUCUGCAUGCCCGCAAUAUAUCAGCAUUUGCCGACCUGAGCAUCUUGUGAGUGUGAAGUUGAGGAUGCUAACCUCAUGGUAGAAGUGCAUGUCGGAUGCCGCUCGGCAGAAUCCCGAAGGCCAGGAUGCCAGCUGCUCGGGUCCAUCCGGCGAAAUCGUCACUCGGGCGCCUCGUCCGAUGCUUCCGCUCAUCAAUAGGAGAAUGGAAGCUGCCUGUGCUGCUGCUGCUGCUACAUUUUCUUCUCAUUCCAUCUUUUUCUUCAGUUGCUUCCCCUCACAUGACGAGCCCCUCCCCAGUCCAGGGUCACUUUCAUCUGAGGCGAGAUCCGCCGCACAUCACUUCAUGAUUCUUCCCUUCUCCUCCUCUGGGGCUCUUUCCUGAAAGAAAUCAAGCAGCACACACGCCAAGCCGCAUGCCACCCAGCCUGUAGUUGUCAGUCCUUCCUGUGUGCGUGUGUGUUGUGUGUGUGUUGUAGAUAACAUGGCGUGCUUUGCGCUGUCAGAAACAGGAAGUGUGCAGCUUGCUUGUUUGGCCCCGAUGAUCCAUCUCCUGUGUGUAUGCACACGGGUGGGAAAGGACAGUAACUCAAAGCUUGGGCAGGUUCUUUGAGCAUUUUUUUCCAAUAUUUGUAUUUGAUAGAAUCGUUGAAACUACUAGAACAACAAGAAGCUGUUACAUGUGAGGCAAAAGUGCACACUCGGUGAUAACUGCAUGUUACUAGUGACCCUGACGCAUGGUAAUGUAAAUUUGAAUUUCUUUUUUUUUUUUGCCAAAGGUGACACGUGGCAUGAAUGUUGUGACUGAAAUGAACUGCAAUAUUUUAGCAUGUUUGGCAGACGCAACCCAGCUUGCACCCUAUGAGUGGAAUUAGCUUCCACAUCUUUGAAUUGGGCCAGUUUAUGGACAUUGGAAUUUGAAGUAACCAAAGACUAAAGAUUUUUACGCAAGAAAAAUAAUUUAUUUAUGAUAGAAUCACUUCAUGGCACUGGCAUGUUGGAAUGUGGCGCUUACACCAAACCACUGGAUGGGCCACAAGGGGUUUUAAUACAUAUAUGUAAUAUUCCUUUAAAUAUGGUUUUCUUCCCUUAAGGAAUAACAAAAAUAGAACUCCAAUAGGUGGACUGACUAUUGAUGUAUGUUUCUCUAAGCUGCCCUUAAAUGGCGGUCGGGCGCCUCGUCUAGGAUUGUGACCUGGGCAUUUUACAACAAGGCGUCAUCAGCUGGGGUUGUGUGCAGCAUGCUCACGUCGAACAGCCUACGACUCAAAGUACACAAAUUGACGGACGACACAACCUUGCUGCAAGAUUAUCUGAGGCAUCGCGCACACACACAAAGUAAAGAGAGGCUUUUUUUUUUUUUACACGGCCCACUUAGUGGAUAUCAAGCAAAUGAAUCAAUGGCAAUCUUUCCUGACCUUUGAAAGUUUGUCAACAUGGCUGCAACCCCUGCACACCCCAAAAAAAAUCCAGAUCUCAAAUAGAUGGCAUGGUGCUGCAGUAAGGCAGCCAAACGUUGUGAUGCAAGAUAAACAAACUUGUUAAGUACUCUUUUUCAUCAUUUUCAAAAAGAAAGCAUCACUUGAUGAGUGGUCAGAAGCAGCGAUGCGUUUUGACGUGACGGUGACCAAGAGUGCGCGUCGCAACCUCCCGCCACCAGAGGGCAAGCUGACACAGUGGCCCAAAAAAAAAAAAAAAGUCUACCCCGUGAGCCGACCUUCGCGUGUCCCCGUUCGUCAUCC